rnacentral:rRNA from 1 species
UCUCAGUUCGGAUCGCAGGCUGUAACCGCCUGCGUGAAGUCGGAAUCGCUAGUAAUCGCGGAUCAGCAUGCCGCGGUGAAUACGUUCCCGGGCCUUGUACACACCGCCCGUCACACCAUGAGAGUCGGGAACACCCGAAGUCCGUAGCCUAACCGCAAGGGGGGCGCGGCCGAAGGUGGGUUCGAUAAUUGGGGUGAAGUCGUAACAAGGUACC